GGAAACCAAAAGGAGAAGAAGACAUACACAAAAUAUCAAAAAUAAAUACGGAGAGAUUGGUCCACUCCCUUCCCCUCCCCGUUGCCAUCCCUAAUUACUAAUCACAAUCACUAUCGAAAGGGGUAUUGAAUUUUGAUUGGGUGAUUGAUUGGUCACACAGGAGCAACACGACAGCUUGGAGACUGUGACAGUUUUUUUUUUUUUUCCUUUUUCCAUUUUUGUGCAGGUUGGUUAGCUAUCUUGAGUUUUCUCCAUAAGAAGGGGAGAGCUUUACUCUGUAUACUACUAACAAACUCAAAUAGCAUUUCCCACUUCCCAGUCUCAUAAUUGUAAAAAGAAACAACAUCAACAAUCGCUUGCUUACUUCAAUCUGUGAUGUUGAGGCCCUUUUUCUUGCUAAUAUUUCUGCUUAAUUUGGCAGCAUCAGCACUCACUGCUGUUGAGUAUACCAAAAAUGACUUCCCACCUGGCUUCAUUUUUGGUUCUGGCACUUCGGCUUAUCAGGUCCACAACUAAUUCUAACUUCUUCUACUCAGCUAUCUGAUCUGUUUCAGUUUACACUUUUAGUUUGUUAAUUGGAGGAGAAGGAAGGGGGGACAAAAAAAAAAAAGAAACAUCAGAUUCUUAUGAUAUGUAACAUGUAAUAUAGGUAGAAGGGGCAGCAAAUGAAGAUGGAAGGACGCCCAGCAUUUGGGAUACUUUUGCACAUGCCGGUCAGUUUUGUUCUUUCAGAUUAAAUUUGAGUUUUGCCGAACCCCUUAGUUUAUCAUCACUCCUUGUUGUGUUCUUGAUUGUAUAUGCUGAGGUUGGCACUGAAAUUAAACGAGAGUUCAUGCUUGUUUAUGAGAUAUUAGAUAUCAAAGCUUCACCCCUUGUAAUUUUUCACUGAUUUACUAUCACUGUAUUUAUCAAAAAUUUAUCUUCUAACAGCUGUGUUGGGUUUUCUCUUCUAAAUUUUCAGGGAAUGUGCUUGGCAAUGGAGACAUAGCAUGCGAUGAGUAUCAUAAGUACAAGGUGGAUACAUCAUGCCUUAUCGUUAUGAUUCUUCACAUACAACUUGAGGAAAAUUCAAUUACAGUUCAUCCUCAUUUUGUCUAUUGAAACUAAUUGAAAUGGUUAUACAACAAUAACCAACCAACAGCUGGUUGAUUUUGCUUGUUCAUGCAAAACAUUGCAUCUUGUGGCACAAUGAUACCUGUGCAACCCAUGUGCUUUUUUUUCAGGAAGAUGUGAAGCUCAUGGCAGACACAGGCCUAGAUGCCUAUAGACUUUCCAUCUCAUGGUCAAGACUAAUUCCAAGUACGAUAAGAUACUCCUGGCUUUUAUGAACCUUAUAACAAUUAUGCAAUUUCUGAGUCGUUCUCACAGAUUAUCCUCAUUUUCUUCUAUCUUUCUUGUUCAGAUGGAAGAGGACCUGUCAAUCCAAAGGGUUUACAGUACUACAACAACCUCAUAAAUGAGCUAAUCAACUAUGGUCGGUUCCAGUUUUUCAUUACUACUGAUAGAAACUCAAUUUCUUUGCAUAUAUUUAAGGAAAGUACUUCCACUAUCUCCAAUAUACCACUUUUGUUUGAAUCAAGCAGGAAUCCAACCGCAUGUCACAUUACACCAUUUUGAUCUUCCUCAGGCACUGGAAGAUGAGUAUGGCGGAUGGAUCAAUCGAAUGAUUGUGUAUAUUUCUCAGUUCCUUGUGGUUUUAGCUUACCCUUUUGUGCUUGGUUAAAUAACCAAAUCAAUAAAAGUGUUGAUGACUGUGUCUAUAUUUUCUCCAUUUUGAAUGCAGGAAAGACUUCACAGCUUAUGCAGAUGUAUGCUUCAGAGAGUUCGGCGAUAGGGUUUCAUAUUGGACCACUGUGAAUGAGCCAAAUGGAUUUGCAAUGGUAGGUUAUGACUUCGGAAUUGCACCACCUAAACGAUGUUCUUCUUCAUUCAACAACUGCUCUAGAGGCAAUUCUUCCACUGAGCCAUACAUGGCAGUUCAUCAUCUCUUAUUGGCACAUGCAUCGGUUGCAAGAUUGUAUAAAAAGAAUUAUCAGGUAAUAUCCAAAAAAAUUUCAUUCAUGUGCUUCAGUAUUCCAUCUAGUGUGUGACUUAGUCAAUCAUUUAUCCUUCCAGUUAUUUAUAUUGAGUUCAACAAGAAGUAUUUGGCUUCAGCAUCAAGCAUUUAUAGUCUUUCUUGUUAGAAUUGAAAUUUUGUGUCCGCACAUUACUUCCUUAGAUGUCAGUUUUUGCCAUCGCGAUAUCCCAUAUCGCUUUGAGUGUAUGGAAGAAUCCUAGUGCCUAAGGUGAUCCAAACCUUAAUUGGCGAGGCACAUUCUGCGGUUUAUGGUACCCUGCGAAUAAAUUGGUAAGGCCUUAGUAUUAAAGCGGACAAUAUCUUGCCAAAUCCAGAUUGAGUCAUAAAUGAUGGUAUCAGAGUCAUUCCUGACUAGAAGUGUGGGAGCUAAGGUUCUAAGCCCAGUAGAUUCGAAGUGCUUGGUUGUGGGAGAAGCCUAGUACUUAUAAGGGGUGAUCCACAACCUUAAUUGCCAAGACACAUUUUGGGUGUGUGGGCAUCCUGAAAACAAAUUUGUGACAACUCAGGCCGAAUGCAGACAAUUUCUUGCCAGGUUUAUUUUUGGGUCAUGACAGUCAUGUCUAAAGAUAUUGGAAUAAUUGCAACGCUUGGUGAUGCAGGACAAGCAACAUGGCUAUAUAGGUCUAAGCAUCUUUUCAUUUGGGAUUUUUCCUCUUACAAACUCAAAGGAGGAUGCAAUUGCAACUCAAAGAUACUUUGAUUUCCUAAUUGGUUGGUACGAUAAGAAUCUAUAUGUCUUGAGCUCUCUGUUUGGCACUUUUUCUAUUAAUCUACUUAUUUUAAAUUUCAGCUGUAGCUAAUAUUUAUAUUGCACUGAAUUUCAGGGUUGCAAAUCCGUUAGUGUACGGAGACUAUCCCAAAAUAAUGAAACAAAAUGCUGGCUCAAGACUUCCAGCCUUCACUGACCAUGAAUCCCAACAGAUUAAAGGUUCAGCUGACUUCAUUGGAGUGAUAAACUACUACACAGUUUACAUCAAGGACAAUCCCAGCAGUCUGAAACAGAAACACAGAGACUGGAGUGCAGACACAGCAACAAAGUUUUUUUGUACGUUCUCUACAUAUCAUUAGUCUUACUUUGCUGAUAAAUGGCUGAAUUAUACAUGAGUUGAUUCCUCUUUGACUCCAUCAAAGUUCACCUAGUCAAACUCAUCUGUGGCUUAAUUUAAAUCUAGAACUUCCAUAUGGUAGUCCUUAUAUACUUACUGUCUUGUAACUGUGUAAACUCAUUAUAUAUACCAAGUUGACAGGUCAUUUUUUUUUUUCAAAAAUCAAUUUCUGCCUAAUUGAGAAACUAAAACUAUUGAUUGAUUUUGGCAGUUAAGCAGGAUACUGCUGCAUCAUCAAAUGAGGUGGGACUUUUAAGUAGAUAAUCAAAGUAUUUGUUUAAUCUACUUGAUUUAGUUCACUACAUUCCUAAUUUUCUUUGUUUGACACAAUCUCCAAUACAGCCCUUAAGCCUGCAAAUAGUGCUGGAGUAUUUUAAGCAAGUUUAUGGCAAUCCUCCUAUUUACAUUCAUGAGAAUGGUUCUCUCUCUCUCUCUCUCUCUAUCUAUUUAUCCAUCUAUCUGUUGAUGCUCUUGACGACUGACUACAGUAAGUAAACUCGCAUAUGCUGGUCUUCUUCUUUAACUGAUGAAGUAUUUAAAAAGGUAACAAAUGAAGAAUCAAAGAGCUGAAAUCACUAAUCAUGCUGCCUGGUCAGCUACUUGAAAAAAAUUUCAUGCUAUCUUUAUUUUAGUAUGCAACAGGAUAUGGUAGUGGCUAAUUGCACAUGAAAACAUACCUUACAAUAGCAUGCAUAGAGGGGGAAGACAAUAAAAAAGGAAAGAAAGUCCUGCAGUAACUAUUCUCGUGGUGGCAAUUGUGGCCUUGCACCAAAAGAUAGUUGCUGUCAGAUGCAACAUUAAUAUGAUAUGGUCAAUACUUGUUUCACUUUUUUUUUUUCUGAUUCGUUUUGCUUUAUCAUCAAAUGAAUUUUACCAGGUCUGGCCACCCCACGCAAUUCAUCAUUGGAAGAUAUAUCCAGGGUUGAAUAUUUGCAUGCAUACAUAGGAAUUGUGCUUGAUACUGUGAGGUAUGCCUAUUUUGUGCCAAAGUACACCCCUUGAAUGUCUUUUAUAUUUUCAUGAGGGCAAGAAAGAGCUCAUAAGCAUUCAACUCAAGAUAUUUUAAUAGAAAAUUAGUGUGUUAUGGAAUGGUUUUGACUGUUGGUCUUAUGUAAAUGUUGAGCUUUUAAAAGUCCAUCAUUUCACCUCCUUUCCAUUUUUCCUGAAAUGAAGUUAAGUGAUCUGUGUGUAUAAUCUAACUUCUUUACUGUUUGCUUUUUAUUCUUGGAAAAAUGGAAGAAAUGGAUCAAAUACAAAAGGGUACUUUGUGUGGUCCUUCUUGGACGUGUUCGAGUUGUUGGAUGGCUAUAAAUCAAGUUAUGGCCUGUACUAUGUUGACCGAGAUGAUCCGGAUUUGAAGAGAUACCCUAAGCUCUCGGCACAUUGGUAUUCACAGUUCUUGAAGGGGAGAAGCGUGAGAUCAGAUGAAGUCUUCUCUCUCGAGAAAAAUAUUUCAAGUCUUUCUUAUGAUCUCGACUCUCAGUAGGCUAAGAUCUAGGCAAAUAAAGGAUUGCAUUUUUUUUUUUUUAAUUGAAAAAAAUUCGGUUCCUGAUCUUCUUAUGAUCUACUCCACAAUGAGUACCAAAUUCUACAAUUACAGUAUCAUGAUUAAUAAGGUUCAUAAGAUUUCUUUGUAAUUAUCUAUUGAUUUCUUCGGGAACAACGUACAUUUUUCUGCUGAAAAUGCUAAUAAUUAUUUUUAAAAUUUUGUUUUCUAGUUUUUGUACAAGAAAACUCCUGGGAAUGCUCUCAAUAUUCAGCUUUCUACGCCAAACAUUCAGGCACAAAACAUAAAUUUAUAAGAGGAUACAAGUACCAUUGCUCCAUUACAUAACUGACAAAAAGUUCAGUUCCGAUUAAUUUUUCUACUGCUAGAGAAGGAAAACCGAUUAAUUACAUGCAUUGCCAGUUAGAAAUUAACUUUGUGUCAGCUAUCUUAUCUCUGUUAGAAGAAUUUUGAACAUGCAACUCAAUGAGGCAUUUAAAAAAUUCGGGGAUGGCAGUAAUUAACAGCUCUAAUUUGUAUAAUUAUGGAAAUACUUAAAUUAAUAAAACUAGACAAACGUUUAUCUCCAUGUGGUAUUUUGAUUAUCAAGUAGUUGUUUAAUUUAGUUUCUUUGGCAUUGUAUAAUAUUUAUUCACUUUUAUUUCAAACAAAAAUUUUUAAUUCCAAGCAGAGAUCACAAAUGGGCUGGGCAAAGACCAAGCCCAAACCCUUAAAAACCAUGUCAAAAUUUGGACGGGACGGGUCGGGCCUGGGCUUCCCAAAGAACCGAAACUCAAUCGAAAAAGUAGCUUAUGUAUAAAGGCUACAGGGGCAAAGCGAAUUUAAACAAAUAUGAGACGCAAUUAUGAUUUAUGAACAUUUGAAAAAAGUUAUAAACUUAACAAAUGUUUUAAGACAUCAACACGUUCAGUCAGAUUAAUUCAUUCAACGACUUUGAUCAAUGCUUAGAUCUUAUCAUAAAAGUUUUCAUAAAUAAACCUUCAACUACAGAUAAGCACGGUCUGUGAGUAGGGAUGGCAAAACCCUGGACCGGGUCCGGGUAUUGCAAUGACCGAACCCUGCCCGGAUGUAACCGGUCCGGGUCUGGGUUCGGGCCGGGUUUUAAUUCGGGUACCCAAGUUUUAUAUUUUUUAAUAUUAUAUGUGUAUAUAUUUUAUAUUUUUUGGUAAUUUUAUAAAUUUUAAAUUUAUUUUAAUAAAAUUUGUCAUGAAAAUAUAAAUUUUAAAUGUUUAAAACUUUAUAUAUGUAUAAUAAAUGAGUCAAAUAAAUAUAAAUAUUUAAAAUAAUAUAUAUUUUAUAAUUUUUUUAAAAAAAUCUGGGUUCCGGAUUUAUCAAGUGAUGCUCAAGACCGACCCGGCUUCAUACCCGGCCCACAACGCCCGGGUACGGUCCGGGUCCAGACCGGACGGGUAUUUUCGCCACCUGAAUCUGUGAGGGAUUUAAUCGAUUAAUUUUUAAAACGUUUGGAUUAUUUGGUUUUUUCCCCAAACAAGAAGGACUACAAUGCAAAUUGGAGGAAAAAAAAAAAACAUAAAACCCCAACACGGUCUAGCUCCGCAACACCAUCACUCCUCUUCUUCGCAAACACUUCGACUCGAACGCAGAUCCGAGACCUCCAUUACGUGUUCUUAAGAAGGCAUAUGUUGACAGCAUGAUUAAAAUGCUACACGUAGGACCCUGAAACUUGUUCAGUGGUAUGUAAACUGUUGAAAGAGGAGGAUAAUGAAGCAUGGGGUGUUGAGCCAUUUGACUCAGACGAUGCUGAUGCCAACCGCAGUGAGUCUUGUGCGCAAAGGCAUUGUGCGGGCGACCGAUAUUAAAUUUCCUCUGGCCUGCCGAGCAAAGUCAUUUUCUCUAGCGAUUGUGUCAGAUGCCGUGGAUUACUUGUCUCCGAAGUUACCUUAACAGAACUCUUCCAGAAUUGGCUAGGGUAUCUGCUGAUGGUGUAGCAAUAUUUGCUGGUAAAUCCCUUAUUUAGCUUUUUUUAAAAAUACACGUACGAAACUAUUGAUAUUCUUAAGUUCUUUUGAUGUAUAUCGUUUUGUUGUGUAGGUUAUCCACGUCAGCAAAGAGCUAAAGUUUCUGAACUAUCCAAAUUUGGUCGCCCUGUGAGUUAUUACUCGUUGCAGGAUUUCAAUAUGGUCUUAGUCCUCGUUGUUAAAUGUAGAGGCUCUGUUUGGUAGGCAGGAAAGUAAAGGAAAAUGUAAACGAGAGAGAAUUGUUGAAAACAGAAAAGAUGCUUUUUGUGUAAAAUCUUAUUAAUCUGAAUUGAUACAAUGAUAUUUAUAGUGAAGCCUAGAAUCUUCUAAAGCAUGCAAAGCAUGAGCUACAAAACAACUAAACCGUAACCAACUCUUAGCGGGAAUUCAACAACUUUACAAAACAGAAAUCCAGCUCAGCACUUGACUAAGCAUUCCACCUAAGCAACAAUGAUCUGACUCAUCAUUUAAUCUUAACACUCGUAGGGCUUCUCGUGUUCCUAUAUAUUGGUUGGAUUUGAACUAGACCUAUUUACAAUUUCAUUUGAAUGCUGUCUUUGUUACUUCGGAUUGAUCACGUGCUAGCUUUUAAUUUGUUGAGAAACACAAUCCAUACAUUUUGGAUGCUUGAUUGGUCAAAAUACGACUGAUAUCUUUGCUCACUCGUUUUAUAUGGGAUUAUUUUCGAUUCUUUUUGGGUUCAAAAUAUUUUGGUAAGUUUUGGCCGUACAGGCACAGUAAUUCAAGUUCUUUUUUUUUUCAUUGAAGAAAGUUGGCUCCAUGAAACGUUACUUUUCUGUAGGCCAAAUUGCGGAGUUCAACUUGGUGGAUACGGUAUUUUCUUCAGAAUAGCUUGGAAGAGAAUGAAGUAGCCGCGAAGAAGUUUGAACAGGCUUCAGUUAAGAGAUCUUAUAAGCCGGCUUGUCAAGUUUUCCACUUGAAGUCAUAUCACUGAGAAUCUCAGCAACAUAUACUCUCUUAUUGAAAUUACACAUUUGAAAACCAUGCUGGCAAGCAUAUACCCGAAGGGCAAGUAAUGUUGUGUACCAAUCGUGAGACAUUAAAUCCUUCAUCCAAAUAUUUAUCAGGGGAGUGAGUUCACAAGAAAUGCCUCCCCGCCUUUAUGUGUUCUUUACAUUUUGGUUUGCUUCUAAUCUUCCUGCUUCUUAGUAUGCCCAGACCCAUAUUUGUUUUGAUAAUUAUAUGACUACUAAUUACUAUUAAUUUUUUCAUUUUAAUGGUAAAAAAUAUCAGAGAAACCAUGUCUCGGUGCAAUUUGCAAUUCUAAGUGUCAUCUUCUGUAUGUUUUUGCUUAGAAACGGGGUCGGUUGAGCCUUUGAGGGCUCUGGAUCUUGGGCCACUGUAGAACUUGACGAGUUGAGUUCAGUUGUCUAGAAGUUGGGUUAGGCUUUUAAUUGAGCUGAGCUUUUCCUUUUUCCUAAAUAAUAUAUAUAUAUAUAUAUAUAUAUAUAUUUAUAUAUAUAUUAAAGAAACAUCUUUAUAAUAUAGGGCACAACUAUGGUACCACUGUGGUACCAUUCCACAGCUGGAUCCAGCCAUUGGAUCCGGCCUACAGUGGUCCCCAUAGCUGGAUCCAAUGGCUGGAUCCAACUGUGAUAUGGUACCACAGUGGUACCAUAGCCGGACCCUAUAAUAUAUCAUAAAAUUCAAAUUAAAAAAAGCUUAAAAAUUAAAAAAAACGAAAAAGAAAAAGUGAAUCAAACAAAACAAUUCGUUGGUUUUGAACAAAACCCAAACUCUCCAAGUCAAAAUCCCUAAAUCCCUCGUUUCCUCCCUCCCUCACUCACCGUCACCUCAACUUCUCACUGUUCUCGCCGCCGGCAGUCAACAGCGGGGCCAACAGCAUCCAGCAGUGAGCGACGAGCAUCCACCACCAGCACUCCAGCAGCCAGCAGCAGCGGCGAGCAUCUCCCGCCAUCCCGCGCAACCCACCGUCCAGCUCCAGCCACCCAGCAUCUCUCGCGCGACGCAGCAGCAACCCCCACCCACCAGCACAGCCGCGCGACGCUGCAGCAAGCACUUGAACUCGAGCGAGGCAGCAGCAGCGAUUUGCAGUCUGUAGUACGCGAAUUCAAACCACACAAGUAGCGAGGUAGCAAACCAUCCAACUCCGGUCCGGUACUCCUCCUCAAUUAAGCUUCAAAUUUUUUUUUAUGGUAUUAUCAAUACAAUAUUAUGUAAUAUGAGGACAUCACCAGAAUGACGAGUUUAAAAACAUGGGUUUGUUAUAUUUUUCUGUUAGAAUUUUGUUUGGUUUUAAAAUUUUAGCUUUUGGUGGUUAUGUCUUUAGAAUUUUCUUGUCUCUGAAAACCUAAGUAGCCUGUGCUUCUUUAUGUACAGGGAGAGAAAGAAAAAAGAAAGGAAAAAAGGGAUGGGGGGUACAAGUAAAGAUCUUUUGCACUUAGAGCACAAGGAUUCUUCGGCUUCAGCUAUAGGUACAUGUAUGUACUCUCUUUUCCUAUAUAUGUGUAUCUUGCAAGCUCUGUUGUUCAACGGUUGUGUUUAUAUUUGCAGAAUCUGCACUUCUUGUUUGUAGCAAGAAAGACACGAACGCCGAGUUAAAGAAACCAAACCCCGGUAAAAUGCCCAGCUACGGACCAGUUCCUAGAAGCCAAGGUAUUCUGAAUUUCUAUGUGUUCUGGAAGUACUCUCCCUUCAAAAUACUGGCUUCUGGUUGAUAAUUUGUUAUGGGUGUUGCUUCUCUGUGAAAUUGGUUCAUGUGCACUCUGUUUCCAUAGUUAGAUUAUUGCAAAGAUCUUGUUUGAGUGAUAAAUUAUGAAAUUCUCAAAGGAGAAAGAAAUUUCAAAAUUAUUGUUCUGUAAAUUGUUGUAUUAAAGAGUUUCAGAAACCCUUAUUAGAGAAUCUUUUUGUUUCCAAAGUUGUUUCUGGAACUUGGAAUAUCUUUAUCAAAGUUGUUUCUAGAGCUUGGAAUAUCUUUAUCAAGUUUAUGUCAAGGAAUUUUCUCAGGUAUGUAGAGUCAUAUACAUUUUGUAGGUAUUUGAUAGUGUCCGAUAAUCUGUCUCUCUCAUUUUUCAGUUUUGGGAAAAGUUAAAGGUUUUUUGGGAGUCAUAUCAGAGGCUAAUAAAAGGCUCCAACUUGAUGCAAAGGUUUGUCAGCUGAUCUUAUUACUAAAUCUGUACCAUUUAUCUUGAUCCAAACCUUUCUCUCUUAAUCACUAACUUGUGCCUCCUUUGACCAAAUGUAGGAUAAUGCUCAAGAUUAUGAUAUGGAAGCGCUCACCGGAAACGAAUCUGAAGUUAUUGAAAUGGUAAGUGAAGGUCUCUCCCUCUUUGGUCUCUCCCCCUUUCUGUGUUCAUACUUAUAUUGUGGCAGCUGGUCCAUUAACAACUUCAGUUGCAUCUUAAUGAUAGGAUUUAAUGCUGGGGAUAGCUGAUCUGCAUACUCCUGAGGCGGUCAGUGCUGCUGAAUCUGCAAUCGCUGGUAAUCAGCCAGCGAUUCCUUUGCCUGCAAGCAGUAGUGAAACAGAAACUGAAGAUAGUAGCGAUGACAGUGAUGAUGACGUCGAGGAUAAUAAAACAUUGGAUCCCAUGAAUCUGAAAAGAUCCGAGACAAACAAGGAUGAUUCAUUGAGUGAAUCUGCAGGAAACAAGAAAUCUAAAAAGCAGCCAAAAAUUGUUGAGCUCUCAUGAGCACGUCUUUUGUAUGAGUUAGCUUUGUUGUGUAUUAGUGAUUUGCGUGUUGUUGUUGUGUCUUGAUUAUGAAAAAGACAACAUCCUUGGUUGACUAUUUAAUAUUCAUAACCAGUUGAUAUAUAAAGUUUUGUUUUCUUUUUCCUCUAUUAUCUUUGUGUAUUGAACACUGAGUGCACACUUUCGAAAACAGGCAUCUUAUUUUGGUUUCUUUUUUUUUUAUAUGUGAGCCUAUUGAUGGAGAGGCCAUUGAGCUCGGAACAGCGCAAUUCAGAGAGGGGAGAAUUUGCAACGGGUUUUUUGGUUUGCAUCAAGCUGAACAUAUCUAUCAGUGACACAAAUCAAUUUUGUCCAAAAAAUUAAGUUGAUUUUGAGUUUGAAAUUUUUUGACUCCAAUCCAACUGAGUAUGUAAUUGCAUGGGCCAGUGCAAUGAAACGUUAUUGUCCUGCUGGAUCAUCGUUUUUAUAAUAAAAAUGGAUUAGAGGUCAAGAAAUUACAUGUGUAAAAAAAAAAGGAAAAAAACUUUACAAAUGGAUGUUUAACAAAUCACUGCUCAUGUGUCAGUGACUGGUGAAUUGACCCAGCCUUUUCACUGGCAAGAGAUUCUUGACAAAAUAUUUUUGGGAAGAAAUUAUUCUUUUGUUUGGUAAAGCACCGGCUGGACACUUUUGGAGCUUUGUUUUGUUUGUAUCUGUAUCAUUUAUAAUUUUAUUUGAAUUUAAUCUUAGCUACCCCUAGUUUUGGCUCCCAUGGUUUUGAAAAUUUUGAGACUUAAAGGACUCCUAAUUCAGACUCCACAUAUUACCAAAUAAACAUUUGCUUGAAAAAUGCAGUGUUUUGACUUCGAGACUCAACAAUCCAAUACAAAUCAUUCAAUAACCUAAGUUGCACAAACUGUCUUAAUGAUGAUGAUUACAUAAUAUCUUCAAUCCUAGAGUCUUGAUCAAACAAUGAUUAUGCCUUCGUUUGUAAUCUUAUUCACCCUAUCACAUCCCUUCAGGAAGUUAAAAAAAAAUUAUAGGUCCAUAAUGUAUUUUGGCCAAUUGCUAAAAGCCAAGAUGUGUUUCAGCAGCUUAUUAUUAUAAGUUAUUACAACUCAAGCCUAUAAAAGGCGCCAAGUUCAAGUGACAAAUCAAAUCAAACACGCAAACACAAAAUCUAUACAGUUCAUAUUAUCUUACAAUUCAUCAAGUUGUGAAAAUGGUUGCAUUGGGAGCAGUAAUUGCUACUCUGUUAGGAUUUGCCUUGUUCUACGGUUUAAAAGGAAAGAAGAAGAGCAUAGAUUCUUCAAUGAAGAGCUCAGAAAACAGAACAUGCAAAUCAGAUUCAGGCAAAAGCACGGAUAUAAUCAUUGUUGGUGCUGGCGUUGCAGGCUCAGCUCUUGCUUACACUCUUGGCAAGGUGAUAAAAGGAAUCAAAACAUAUCAUUUGCAUUGCUGUCUGUUUCUGAGUAUGUUCUGUAAACUUUUUUAUCUGGGACUUUUUUUUUUCAGGAUGGACGCCGCGUUCAUGUGAUUGAAAGAGACUUACGCCAGCCUGACAGAAUUGUUGGAGAGCUGCUGCAACCUGGUGGAUAUCUAAAGCUAGUAGAGUUGGGUCUGGAAGGCAAGCUCUGACAAUUUGAAUCUUGUUCUUCCAUUUUCAUCGGCAUAGAUCCAUCUUGUAACUUAUAAACAUGUGGCUGCAGAUUGCGUCAGUGACAUUGAUGCUCAGAAUGUGUAUGGAUAUGCUCUUUACAAAGAUGGGAAAAGUACUAAACUUUCAUAUCCAUUGGGAAGUUUUAAUUCAAAUGUGGCAGGGAGAAGCUUUCACCACGGGCGAUUUGUACAAAGAAUGAGAGAAAAGGCUGCUUCUCUUCCCAAGUACUGCUUUCUUUCGUUCAUAUUUGUUCAUUUUGAUUCAUUUCAUAAUUUGAAAUAAUUUUUUUUUUCUAAAUUAUUGAAUUUUCUGUCCAAUCUUAUGUUUAGUGUAAGGAUGGAACAAGGAACAGUGACAUCUCUUCUUGAACGCAAUGGAACCAUCAAAGGAGUUGAAUACAAAACCAAGACUGGUGAAAAGCAUACGGCCUAUGCUCCCCUCACUGUAGUAUGCGAUGGUUGCUGUUCAAAUUUGCGCCGCAAUCUCUGCAAUCCUAAGGUGAAGUUGCUGUGUUAAUCUUGUCAAAUGAAGAUAGUAAAUCAUAGAUCUCGCCAAUUUCUUAUAAGGAUUUUUUUCCGAAAGUUAAAAUUUAACUUGUGAUUAUAAUUCUGCAGGUUGAGAUCCCCUCUUGUUUCGUGGGCUUGGCCUUGGAGAAUUGUAAGCUUCCAUUUGCAAAUCAUGGGCACGUUGUUCUGGCAGAACCUUCACCUAUCUUGUUUUAUCCUAUCAGUAGCACCGAGAUUCGCUGUUUGGUUGAUAUUCCUGGCCAAAAAGUACCUUCCGUUUCCAAUGGUGAAAUGGCUCAAUAUUUGAAAACUGUUAUCGCACCCCAGGUACAUUUCUUUUGCAAGUAAUUUGUGUAGGAGUUACUUGAAAUAUGUUGUCCUUUCAAAACAUGAAAUGCUACUUCAUUUUAGACUAAUUGAGGAACUAAUGUUUCAGAUUCCCCAUGAGCUGCAAACUGCUUUUAUAUCAGCAACUGAAAAAGGAAACAUGAGAACAAUGCCAAAUAGAAGCAUGCCAGCAGCUCCAUAUCCAACUCCAGGUGCGCUUCUGAUGGGAGAUGCAUUUAACAUGAGGCAUCCUUUAACUGGAGGUGGAAUGACAGUAGCCUUAUCUGAUGUCAUUCUACUCAGGGAUCUCCUCAGACCCCUGCAUUCUUUAGACAAUGCAUAUUGUCUUUGCAAAUAUUUUGAAUCCUUUUACACACUGCGCAAGGUAACUAUGCACCACUCAUAAUGCUCUUUACUUGCAACACACUCAAGCUGCUGCUAGCUUAAAAUAUUAGCGUCCAAUUCUGUGCUUGCAGCCCGUGGCAUCUACAAUAAACACAUUAGCAGGCGCAUUAUACAAAGUUUUCUCCGCAUCUUCAGAUCCUGCAACCGCAUCUUCAGAUCCUGCAAGGGAGGAAAUGCGGCAAGCAUGCUUUGAUUACUUGAGGCUUGGAGGUGUUUUCUCAAGUGGACCAAUAUCAAUUCUCUCGGGGCUAAACCCCCGGCCAUUGAGCUUGGUUCUGCAUUUUUUUGCAGUGGCAUUUUAUGGCGUUGGACGCUUACUGAUUCCAUUUCCAUCUCCCAAACGUUUGUGGAUUGGGGCUAGAUUGAUUUCUGUGAGUAUCUCCACUUCAUUUUGUCCUUCCAAGAUUUUAGCCGAUCAGUUUGGCCACAUGACGCGUAUGACGAGAAUAUUGCAUUUGUAUUAGUUAUAGAUUGAUAUCUAACACACACUCUGUAAGAUAACUGGGCAUAUAGCUAAUGGUUAAAAGUCAUAAUAAGAUAGGAUUCUAAAACUUUGUUUCAAAAUUCUUAUUGCAUCAUAUAUUUAUCUUUGGUUAAUUUUGUUUGUUAUUUUGCAGGAUGCUUCUGGAAUUAUUUUCCCCAUAAUAAAAGCUGAAGGAAUUGCACAAAUGUUCUUCCCUGUAGCUGUACCUGCAUACUACAGAGCUCCUCCUGUUAAGUGAGAAUAUGAAAACAAGAAGUUCAAGAAGAUUUUUGGGGAAGAAAUCUCGAUAUGCUGCAAGUUUUUUAUUCAUUGAUUAAUUAAUUCAUUCUUUAAGCAUUGAGUUCUCUUUCACCAAAAUUGGAGGCAGAGCAAGCAAGUCUGCUUGAAGCAAAUUGUAUCAUUAGAUAGCAAUUUAUUCAAACGAAUUAAACUUUAUUAUAUUCAUUUUAUUCCAAAAUUUUCAAGGUAGCAUAACAAGAGUUACAAACAUAUGCAUAUACAUACAUAUAAGUAAUUGCGCUUGUGGGUAUGUAAUAGUGAGAGCGGCCAUUAAAGCAUCUUACCUAGGCAAUAUAUAUAUAUACGUAAAGAGAACAAGAGACAGAUAAAAGGAGAAAAUUCUAUGUAUCACUCAUUUAUUGCUGCAUAUGGAAGUGAAAUCCCAUGCAUUGGUGGAACGUGAAAAUAGAUCACACUGCUUGAUUUUUUUGUUUUUAGAUAUCCGCCUACACAUAACUUUUCAUGACAAAACACUAAGCCCUCCAAGCUCGUACUUGCAUAGACGAUUUAGCAAAGUUUUAAUAUAUAUAAUUAGGAAAAAAUGACCGAAGCACGUCUUUUGUUUAAUGGAAUUAACUUUUGUCUUUAAAACCCACUAGAAUCCCAUACUGUUAUAACUUACAACAUUAAUUAAACAGUCACCUUUGAAGGACAAUUCGAUCAUACAAUAAUAAAUCCGACUUAAACAGCUAGGGCCCCGUUUCUCGGAUAAUCAAGAUUAACCUAUUUUAUAGUAUCAUUAUUUUAUUUAUAAAAUUUCUAAGGCAUGUGGGGUGCUUAGGGCUCUACAUAUUAUCAUUGUUGGGUGAAACGUAGAUGUUGAGUAUUACACCUCUAAUAGUUGUGGGUGAAUGAGAUUUGUUCGAACAAAAUAAAGAAAAAAGAUUUCGUCAAUGGUGAAAUGAAAUUGUUAGAACAUACCUAAAAAUUGAAAUGAGGAUUUGUUCACCACUCAACCGCCAAUGAGUUGUUUUCUAAUUAAUUUGUAUUAAGUUAAAAAAAUUGAAGAGAUUUAAUAAUCUAAAUAACUUUAAAAGAGAAAUGUAUCACUUAUUUAUUGCUGUAAAUGGAAGUGGACUCCCGUACAACAUAAAAAAGAUCACAUAACUUGAUUUUAUUUUUUAUGGAUAUCUACCAACCCACGACUAAAACGUAAUAAAACACAAAGCCCUCUAAUCUCGUACUUGCUUGGAGGAUUUAAGAAAGCUGUUUUUACCAAUUAGAAAGGUCGUUCACCAGCAGCGUUGCCUGGAGGAUCAUAGUUGCAGAUGGCGAUGAAUUGAUGAUUAUUGUUACACCGCUCUUUAGCACAGCCCAAACGCACAGAUUUGCGCCACACAACUUGAGUAUAGUGUCCGCACAUCUGAUUAGGAGCGCAAGUAUUAGAGUUGUAAUCGUAAAAUUGUUUCUCAUCCACCCACAUCUUCACGAUGUGAUCGACGGUAAAGUCGUAGUCAGCCCAUGCAAGGUUCUCACCGUAAUGGCUAACUGAGUGUUCAAUUAUGCAGUCAACUUUAAGUUUUUGUGCAUAGUUAUGUGCAUGAUCCUCCAACGUCUUGUCCCAUGUCAUGCCUAUGCCAAUGCCAACAUUACGACGAGCUUCAUUAUGAAGGUGGACGUACCGUUGCUGAGUCGCAUUAUUGGCUGAGGAGAGAUGGAUUCUUGCAGUUAGGACUACGAGAUGGAAAAUUGCUAGUGAAUUAAUGGGUGACAUUACUUGUGGGGUCAAUUUAGCUUAUUUGAUAGAAUUAUAGGAAGGAGAGCGAAAGCUUGUUAUAUAGGCUAGGGAUGAAAAACUUUUGCUUGUGUACAAGGGGUUUAUAUAGGGAAUGGUGUCGGAAAUCAUUCAAGAAUCGAACGGUCGAAAAUUUCUUCAAAAGUAAUUUUUAAUUAUGUAAGAUACAUAUAAUAAAAGUAGGUCUACUUAAUUAAAUUUAAUUUUAAAAUAAUUAAAUUUUUGUUUGAAAUUUGAUAUAAACCGUAAAUGUCUAAGUACAAUAUAUGAGAGUCUAAAUUUAUCUCAAAGAUGACACCACGUUGAGUAUUUAUUAAAGAAUAAAUCAUCAUGUUGCACAAAUGAUCGGUAUAACUGCGGCUACUUCGUAACUUUUGUUUCAGACAAGGCAAUCGGGAGUGAGUUACUAACUGUACAAGGCAUGAUACGGUAAUCCACCAUGCAUAUAUAUAGAAUGAUAGAUUAUCAUGGAUGGCAGUUGCAAAGAGUGGUAAAUUAUUACAAUCCUACUAAAAAUCUAAAAUUAAAUAGGCAUAUAUAAGUUCAUGAUCCUCAUGGAAACCCUUUUCUUACAAGUUAAUUUUUAACAGUGGGUCUGAUGGACCCUCGAGCCAUAGAAUUUUUUUUCAUAUACUACCAUUAUAAAAAUUUACAAUAUUAAAAAUUUUAUCCUCAAAAUUACACAGUUACAUUUUGGCCCUCUUUAAUUGUCAUUUCUUUAAAAGAGAAAACAGAAUAUGAGUAUUAUGUCUCUCAUAAAUUUAACCUUUAAAUUUGUCUUUAUUAUAUUCUGACCCUAUUGGUUUUUUUUAAAAAUAAAAUAGCCCCUAUAUCAAAGCUUUUGGUUCUGCUAUUGGUUCUACCGAAAGACCAAAUUUUGCUCAAAGUUAUGAUUGGUAACCAAAUAAUCAAUUUUUUAUUUAUUAAUUUAUGGUCAAAAAUUAUAAAUGUACAAGUAGCUCCAUGGCAAGUUUCAUGUUCCUAAAUGUUUUGAUAUAUAUUUUUUUAAUUUUUCCCCUCACAUCCCACUCUCUACAUGUUCAUGCACAAACAAAAUUAAAGAAUUUCCCCCUUCAAGGUGUAAUAGGGAUAAUUAAUCUAUUAAUAUCUUGCAUCCAUGGUAGUUUGUUAAAUCAUAAUUCAGGGAUAAGAAUUCUCUCUUAGUAUUUUUUUCUCUUCUAGUCUCUACAAGUGAAAUAAGUAAUCAAGAUUAAAUUUUAAAUUUUGAUGUUGACAAUCAAACCAAUAUUUUUUACUAGGUUUAAAAGACUAGACGAGACUCGGACAGAAAAACAAUAUGAGAAAACCCUAAUCCAUAAUGUGGCUAUUCCUUUUAAAAUCUUUUGAUGGUUAAAUAGUUGUAUUUAGUUUUUUUUUUCCCAAUCAAAAGAGAAAUUAUAUGUUCAAUUUAUUUUUUUAUUACUUGCGUAAAUGGAAGCGAACACAUAGCUUGAUUUUAUUGUUUUCGGAUAUCUGCCAACGGCAUGACUUAUUCAUGCAUAGCCCUCUGGUCUCAUAUAUAGAGGAAAGUUUCUUUAUGAUCCACUAGUAAGGACGUUGACCAAAAACAUUGCCUCGGGGAUCGUAGUUGCAAAUGACAAAGUUGAGAGUGCCAUUGUUAUUGCACCUCUCUUUAGCACAACCUAAACGCACAGAAUUGCGCCACACAACUUGAGUAUAGAUUGCGCAUUUUGUACCAUUAAGAGCACAAAUAUUAGAGUUGUAGUCGUAUAAUGGCUUCCCAUCCAUACACAUCUUCACGAACUCGGCGGCGGUAAUCUCGCCCUGGCUGCUCCAUGCAAUUGUCUCGCUGUAUUUGCUAACUUGGGGUUUCUUUAAAUUGCAGUUACCCUUUAGUUUUUGUGCAUGUUUAUGUGAAUAAUCCGCCAAUUUGUGGUCCCAUGACAUCGGGCCAACGCCAACGCUAGCACGAGCCUCGUUGUGAGCUUUGAGGUAGUCUUCAGGUUUAUUGUAGGCAGAGGAGAGAUGGAUUGUCGCUAGGGCUAAGAGACAAAAAAUUGCUGAAGUGCUUGGCAUUGUGGUGAUUACUGUUUUAAUUUCGCUUAUCCGAUGGAAAUGGGAAAGAAAGAGCUUAGGUAAUGGAUGGAACCGCUUGCUUGUGUAUAAGAGGUUUAUAUAGGGAAUGGUGUGAAAAUCAUUCAGGAAUUGUAUGGUCGAAAAUUUUUCAAAAGAAAUUUCUAGUAAUACAAGAUAAAUAAAACUUAGUGGCACUUUGGUAAGGGUAAAUUCCCCUUUAAUUUUCAGGGUUUAGGGUAAUUACUAAUUUAUUUUAUGUAUCUUUUAAUUAUAAUUAUUCAAAAUACUCAUUUCUUUUCUUUAAUAUGUGUUAAAUUAACUUCUUAAGCAUACGUAAUAUUUUUGUCUAAUAUAAUUUGAAAUUCUAAUAAGUUAGACAUAUAACAGUUAGCAAAUAGAGAGAAGUGAGGUAGAUAUAUUUUAAUGGAAACAAAGUUAUAGGGAUCUUUUUGAUAAGUUUUAUAAAUAUAGGGACUAACUGAAUAAUUGACUCAAAUUGUAAGGAUUAAAGAAGCAUCUCAUCAAUCAAGCCCCUUGAGAUCACACAAGAAAUUUUUAUUAUAUGUAAUUUACCCGUAUUAGUUAUUAUUUACCAUAAGAGGAAGGAUAAUUAAGCCCCUUAAUAAUAAAUUACAUAAGUUUAUACAAUAAUUUUAGAUUUUGAGAUUAGAAUACUUUGAGUGGUUGAGAUUCAUAAAUAGAUUGAUGGCAUAUGUUAAAGAAUUAUAUGCAUCACUGAUUUAUUGCUGUAAAUGGAAGUGAUCUCGCAUGUCGUGUAAAAUCGAUCACACAACAUGUUUUAUUAUCUUCUUAUACCUACCAAUACAUGGCUUAUUCAUCAUAAAACACAAAUCCCUGUAUGCUCAUACUUGCUUAGAGGAUUUAGGUAAGUCCUUUAUAUAUAUGUAUUAAUUAGUAAGGCCGUUUACCAACAACGUUGCCUGGAGGAUCAUAGCUGCAAAUGACAAACGUGCCACGAUUGUUGUUGCACUUCACUCUAGCACAACCUAAACGCACAUAAUAGCGCCACACAACUUGAGUAUAGUGUCUACACUCCCCACCAACACAAGUAUUUGAGUUGUAAUUGUACUUUGGCCUCUCAUUCACCCAAAGCUUCACGGCCGUCGUACCAGUGAGGUCACCGCUGCUCCAUGCUAAGUUCUUGCCGUAUGGUCCACCGGAGUGCACCAAUCUGCAGUCACCUUUACGUUGAUUGGCCUAGUUUUUAGCGUAAGCCGCUACUUUGUUGUCCCAUCUCAUCGGUCCAACGCGGACGCUAGCACGAGCUUCAUUGUGAGCUCUGAGAUAGUCUUGUUGUGAAUUUUGGGCAGAGGACAAUUGGGUUGUAGCUAGGGCCACAAGACAUAAGAUUGCUAGUGAAAUGUUAGACAUUACGUUGUGACUUAAUUAAUGAGAAAGCUUAGCUGCUUAGGUUAUAAAUGAAAAGUUUUGCUCAUGUAUAGAGGUUUAUAUAAGGAAAUGAUGUGGAAAGCUUAUUAGUUCAAGACUCGUAUAUGGUGGGAUAUUCAAAAGGAAAAAAUUGAAGAUAAAAUUUGCGGCGCCUUAACUAAUCAAAUUGACUGAGUCUAGUAUUUGGACAAAUUAAUUAAGCUCUUAUUGUUACUUUCUUAAUGAAUGAAUUUAUUAUCCCCACAUGAUUACACGUAGUAGAUUUUCCACUUUUUCGUCUGGAAAAAUUGGAGCGUAUUCAGGACAAAUGCUUAUUAUUUAAAAACAAUUGUUAGACCAAAAAACCAACUAAAUCUUACUUAUCAAAUUAUUUAAUUUUUAAAUUAUUCUCUUAUAAUUAAGUACAAGACACUUUAUCUUUUACUUCUAAGAAUGCCAUGUCUUCUUCCUAAUUAAAAUUUCGAAACUGACGUGAACCGAUCCUAGUCAACACGGAAACUGAUUAAUAAACCAGAGUUAAAUGCCUUUAAAAUCAGCUUGUUCAAUUAUAUUCAAUUAAUAACUGACAUGAUUUUGGAAAAUGUCUAUUAUAUAUGGAUUUGGAUCCUUUCGUAACCUAAUUUUUUCCUUGAGCACGUGGCAUUUAGAAUUUAAAUUAUAAGGUUAAGAUUAAAUUGAUUACAAAUAAAUGAUCUCUUUAGGAAUACUCUAAUACUUCAGGAAAAUUAAUUAGACAUGGUCAUAAACCAGCAGAAUCACAUCUCUAGAUGGAAUACUGCUAAUGGUUAGAAACUAACUUAAAAGACAACAACGUUAAUCUCAGAAUAUGUAUUAAUUUAUUAUUCUCCUGAGACAAUGAGGUAACGGUGGAUUGAAUUGCUUGUUGCGUCCGGAUUUGAAAAAAAAAAUAAGAAAGGAAUGGAUGAGUGAUUAGACCCGUAAGUUAUAUUGAAUGGACUUUAUCCUUAUAAAAUGCAUGAAUAAUUAAAAAGAUAAAGAAGAUGAAUAGUAUUUUGACGAUUUUUCCUGAUAGAGAGAGAUUCUUUAGUACAAAUCACAUGAAACUUUUCAACAAAUCACGUGAGAAUAAGUAUACGCGUAGUUAAAAUUUAUUAGGUAAAUGAAUAAAAACUGUGUGAGGAUUUCAAAAUAUUUCUUGAUAAAAUAUGUUAACUAGUAUUGGAUUAGAAAAUUAGAAUAUACAUUUCAUAAUCACUAGUUGGAGAGAGUCUUUGUUGCUCCUAGAGCACUGAUACUUGUCUAUCCAUUACUUGGCACGUGUGUAUAAAUUUUUUUCAUGAUUGUUUAAAGUAUAGGCAUAACAAAAAGUGUUUGUUGUUCCUAGAGCACUGUGAUAUUUAUCUAUGAAUUACUUAUCAUGUAUUUAUCAAUAUUUUUAAUGAUUGGGUUAAAGUAGUGCUCUUUGGAGUACCUUUUUUUUUUUUUAACUAAUUAAGCAUCAGGUUACUGUAUUACACAGAGAUACAUACAACUGCUAUGACAACAGGUCAUUAUAUUGAUAUUUACAAUUAGAUAUAUACAUGUGACUUAUAUUAUUACAUUUUUAUUAUAUGAAGUACAUAUCCAUCCAAAUACCCCUCACAGAGGAGGGAUGUCUCUACUCCACUCGUAUUUCGCAAGGGAGAAAGACGUUAUAAGAAGUCUCCACACAAUUAUGUUUAAUUGAGGGAGGUUGAGUCCGUGGGGACUCAAACCAUUGCCCUCAUAGUCAUGCUUAACUUUGAGGGUAAUGGUUCACCACUGGGCUACAAGCUCAAGUGGUUUCUCUGGAGUACCUAAGUGCCAAAGACUUUAACUUCUCCACUAGCUGUGAUACCAUAGUAAGUUUUCCAUUUCCGUAUUACGUGUAAAUUUUAACUAAUAUAUUAAUAAAAAUAAAUAAAUAAAUAAACUGUUUAUGUUAUGUAACUGACAAUGGGCAAAGUGUAUAGUGUUAACAUUUGUAAGAUAAUGGGUGCAAAAUUAAACUGCUAAGGAAGGAGGUGACAUUUGUAAGAAGUCGGAAAAAUAAUUACAUAAAGUUGGCUAAAUUUCUACCAAUCCCUUAUCGUUUCUGAAUUUUUUGUCCCACCCCUAGUUUUGGUCUGGACUCUGGUAUCGAUUCAUUAAUUUGCAAGGGAAUGAAGCUGCUUAUAAGUACAUAUUUUUGGGGCACAAAUUAAGGAAAAAUGCACAUAGUCUUAUAAUUAGUUACUCUUCACUGGGAUCUAUGUAGGAAACAAUUUUUUUGUUCAAUGGAGUCAUAAAAAUAGAAAAAUUGAGAGGGCCAAGCCAGCAAUGAGGAUGAAAUAGUGAUUUAAUAAACUCGAGUAUGCAAUAACAUAAAAAUCACAUAUACUAGAAGCUCUAGCAUGAGGUUAUUAUUUGUUGGCUUCAGACAAUGUUAUUUUGUUACUGAAAGAGAUGCAAGGCCUUUCCAUGAUUGGUCAAAAUACGAUUUUGGAUGCUUGAUUGGUCAAAAUACAACUAAUAUCUUUGGUUACUCGUUUAUAUGGGAUUAUUUUCGAUUCUUUUUGGGUUCAAAAUAUUUUGGUAAGUUUUGGCUGUACAGGCAUAGUAAUUCAAGUUCUUUUUUUAUUUUUUUGGUUGAAGAAAGUUGACUCCAUGAAACGUUACUUUUCUAUGGGCCAAAUUACGGAGUUCAAUUCUUGGUGGAUAAGGUAUUUUCUUCAGAAAAGCUUGGAAGAGAAUGAAGUAACUGCGAAGAAGUUUGAACAUGCUUCAGUUAAGAGAUCUUAUAAGCCGGCUUGUCAAGUUUUCCACUUGAAGUCAUAUCACUGAGAAUCUCAGCAACAUAUGCUCUCUUAUUGAAAUUACGCAUUUGAAAACCAUGCUAGCACGCAUAUACCCGAAGGGCAAGUAAUGUUGUGUACCAAUCGUGAGACAUUAAAUCCUUCAUCCAAAUAUUUAUCAAGGGAGUGAGUUCGCAAGAAAUGCCUUCCCGCCUUUAUGUGUUCUUUAGAUUUUGGUUUGCUUAUAAUCUUCUUGUUUGUUAUAGGUGUUGGGAAAAUAUGCUCUUUAAAAGUAUAUGUGUUUAUUUAAUUGUAAUAAAUAAUUUUUCUUAUUAAUAAAAUAAAUGAGGUAUUUUAUUAAACUAUCUUAAUUGCAUUAAUAUUUUGAGUAAAAUCCAUUUAAUCAUAUUAUAUGUAUUUAUGUGACUACCAUGUGAAUUCACAGAAGACAUAAAUACAAGUUAUCUUAUGAUUAAAUAAAUUAAGUUCGCAGUUGAUAAAUAAAGUUGGAUACUUUAUUUAGGUAUAGACUGUAAUGAAUUCAUUAAAUGAUUUGUAUUAAUCAUGUAUGAAUUUAUUGAUGUAGUACGACUACAUUGAACAAGAUCACAUAUGAGAUUUAAUUAACUUUGUAAUAACUGUCAGACUUAUUAAAUCUCAUAGGUAUUGAUUUUACUGUAAUCUUAAUCUUGAGUUAGUUAUGAUUUCAUGAUUGUAAUUUUUAUUCUAUUUGAGUUACCAAUGGGCACGACACACACUUGUACUCAAAAUUACCUGAUAUCUUGGUGGGAGCAAUUAUGAAUAUUGGAGUUAUAGAUUGACAAUAUAGAAUUUUUACAACACAUCUCUUGAUGGGUUUUCAGAACUUGAUCAUAAAAUUCUCUGGCCAGAAUGUGUCAACAUAUUUAGUAUGUUGAAAAUGAUCAUUAGAGAAAACCAGCAAGAAUCAAGGAAAAUAUGUAAUUAAAUUGAUUGGACAGUUGAGACAUCGAUUUAAUUAACGAUGUGGUAUAAAGGAUUAUGCAGUAAAGAAAUCAAUGUGAUAUGGGUCGAAUUAUUAUUCGAAAAUACUAUCCUAGAUAGCAUGCAAUUAUGGAGGUCAAUUUCAAUGUUUUAGUGGAGUAUAUUUGGAAUUAAAUAAUUGUGUUAGUUUGAUUACAUGUCUAAUUAUUGUAGCCACUAUUGUAUGUACCCAUAUGAUCCCUAGGUUAGCUCAUUUAAUUAACUGCACCGCUACUAGAUUAAUAAACAAGAUAACUAGCUAUUUGGGUUAAACGCCUAAAUAUAUUAUUUAGUGGGAGACACCAUUUAAUAUGCUUGUGUGUAAGGGGUCUUGUGUUAUUUUACAAUGUGAGCCCCUAUAACACAAGAACAAGUAUCACCACUUUUGGUUUUAUUUUUUUUAAAUUUAAAUCAAAUGUGAUUUAAUAUAAUUAAAAAUUAAUAAAUAUGGAGUCUAGGGUUUUGACCAAAUAUAGAUAUAAAAGGGCUUAUUUUCUCUAAAAGAAGUAAGGAGCCACAUUAUACAAAUUAGAGAAAAAAAUUUCUCUCUCUAAUUUUGAGAGGAAUAUUUUCUCUUGCUAGUUGUUUUUUAAUGGCGAUAAAGGCGCCCAUACGUCAAGUGCAGAUCAAUAUUGAGUCAUAACCUAGAAGAUCAUUGGUGACUGAUCGUAUUCUAAUAAGAUUGGUGGUGACGGAUCGUGAUCUAACAUUACUGGUGGUGAUGGAUCGUGAUCUAUGAGCCUAGAUUAAUUUAGCAAAAAUGCAAAAUCGGAUUGUCAAGAUAUGAUUUUCUAGAUUACGAAUUCUUAUGUAUUGUAUGAGUUCGGUCCUAAAAGUUUUUAUAAAAAUUUAAAAAAAUUGAUUUUUCUCCAACAAUAGGGGUAUGCUAAGUUUGUUAGUACGCCCAGACCCAUAUUUUUUUGAAUAAUUAUAUGACUACUAAUUAUUAUUAUUUUUUCAUUUUAAUGGUAAAAAUUCAUCAGAGAAACCAUGUCUCGAUGUAAUUUGUAAUUCUAAGAUUCAUCUUCUGUGUGUUUUUGCUUGGAAACGGGGUCGGUUGAGCCUUUUAGGGCUCUAGAUCUUGGGCCACUGUAGAGCUUGACGAGUUGAGUUGAGUUGUCUUAAGUUGUCUGGAAGAUCAUGUCAAAAAAAAAAAAAGUUGUCUGGAAGAUGGGUUAGGCUUUCAAUUGUGUUUUAGCAAGCAGUUCUAAUGGAGUGAAAAGAACUUCAACGCGCUAUAUAGUAUACUUUUUCAAUUAGCCUACGCUCUCUCUCCGAAGAACAGCUUAGGCAUUUUCUUUCCUUCGUCUUACAAACAAAAAAGAACGGAUCGGGUCCAACAAUAACUAUUUUGUUUUUACCCAUCGCAAUCGAGGGACAACGACAAUACAUACACUCAAGUCAAAAAAAGAAGGGGCCAAUAAAAUCGAUUUUCUUAAUUCUUUACUUGAAAAUGUCAAAAGAAGACGACAGGCUAGCUAGCUAGCUAGCUAGUCGCAAAAUUCAUACACUCAGGACAACGACAAUACAUACAGUCAAGUCAAAAAAAGAAGGGCCCAAUAAAAUCGACUUUCUUAAUUCUUUACUUGAAAAUGUUUAAAGAAGACGACGGACAAGGUAGGUAGCUAGCUAGUCGCAAAAAUUCCGUUCAUUAAUGCAAUGCAUCACAAUCACAAUCACCAUCACAAGGUCUAUUAAAUUUUAAUUUGGGUCGUUGGUCAUACAGGAGUAACACGAGUUGCACGACGGCUUGGGGACUGUGGCAGACUGUUUUUAUUUUUAUUUUAUUUUUGUACAGGUUAGUUAGCUUAUCUUGAGUUUUCUCCAUAAGAAGGAUCAAGGAGAGAGCUUUACUCUGUAUACUACUGCUAAACUCAAUAGCAUUUCCCACUUCCCAGUCUCAUAAUUGUAAAAAUAAACAACAACAACAACAACAAUCGCCCGCUUACUUCAGUCUGUGAUGUUGAGGCCCUUUUUCUUGCUAAUAUUUCUGCUUAAUUUGGCAGCAUCAGCACUCACUGCUGUUGAGUAUACCAAAAAUGACUUCCCACCUGGCUUCAUUUUUGGUUCUGGCACUUCGGCUUAUCAGGUCCACAACUAAUUCUAACUUCUUCUACUCAGCUAUCUGAUCUGUUUCAGUUUACACUUUUAGUUUGUUAAUUAGAGGGGAAGGCAUGGGGAAAAAAAAAA
rnacentral:lncRNA from 1 species